rnacentral:ncRNA from 1 species
UCUACUAGGGGCGCCGAAUGGCUGAGACGAACCCUCUGAACCUGAUCUAGUUAGGACUAGCGUAGGGAAGUAGGAAUG